ACCUUGGAAGACCAUGAAAUCACCUCUUAUCUCCUUGGAGGUCUGGAUUCUACCUAUGAUGCUCUUGUAACCUCUAUCACCACACGCACUGAUGCAAUGCCCUUAGAAGACCUGUUUGGCCAUUUACUUCACUUCGAAC